GUAGGUGGCAAGCGUUGUCCGGAAUUAUUGGGCGUAAAGCGCGCGCAGGCGGUCCUUUAAGUCUGAUGUGAAAGCCCACGGCUCAACCGUGGAGGGUCAUUGGAAACUGGGGGACUUGAGUACAGAAGAGGAAAGCGGAAUUCCAAGUGUAGCGGUGAAAUGCGUAGAGAUUUGGAGGAACACCAGUGGCGAAGGCGGCUUUCUGGUCUGUAACUGACGCUGAGGCGCGAAAGCGUGGGGAGCAAACAGGAUUAGAUACCCUGGUAGUCCACGCCGUAAACGAUGAGUGCUAAGUGUUAGGGGGUUUCCCGCCCCCUUAGUGCUGCAGCUAACGCAUUAAGCACUCCGCCUGGGGAUACGGCCGCAAGGCUG
rnacentral:rRNA from 1 species